GCCGGGCAUGGUGGCUCAUGCCUGUAGUGCCAACUACUUGGGAGGCUGAGGCAGGAGGAUUGCUUGAGCACAGGAGUUUGAGGCUGCAGUGAGCUUUGAUUGUGCCACUGCACUCCAGCCUGGGUGACAGAGCAAAACCCAGUCUCUU
rnacentral:SRP_RNA from 1 species